UACGGGGGGGGCAAGCGUUGUUCGGAAUUACUGGGCGUAAAGGGCUCGUAGGCGGCCAACUAAGUCAGACGUGAAAUCCCUCAGCUUAACUGGGGAACUGCGUCUGAUACUGGUUGGCUUGAGUGCAGGAGAGGAACGCGGAAUUCCAGGUGUAGCGGUGAAAUGCGCAGAUAUCAGGAGGAACACCAAUGGCGAAGGCAGCUCGCUGGGACGUGACUGACGCUGAGGAGCGAAAGCGUGGGGAGCGAACAGG
rnacentral:rRNA from 1 species